CUCUGGCCGUGUAACAUGCUUGCUUUCCUUCAGUUUCUGCCGUAAUUGCAAGUUUCCCAAGGUCCUUACCAAAGACAGAUGCUGGCACUAUGCUUCCUAUACAACCUGAAGAACUCUAUGACCGAGAAACCAAGGAACUCACUAUCUUGUCCUCUUGGAUGCCAGCUAUAAAUUGAAUCAAGUUGGACACCGGAAUUUUGACCACUUUCCACCUUUCUAUCGUGGUCAGGUUUCUUCAUGAGAAGAGGAGAUUCGGUCACAGGCAUGUACAGAAGAAGACUGUGUGAAGACACAGAAGAAGUUAUCUACAAACCAACGAGAGAGGCUUCAGAAGAAACCAACAUUGUUGACACCCUGAUCUUGGAUUUCUAGACUCAGGAAUUAUGAGAAAAUAAAUUUUUAUUGUUUAAGCCACC
rnacentral:lncRNA from 10 species